CCCAACUUUACCAACUUUUCAAAAUCAGGUAACACAAAAUUUCUCAACUGCAUGAUUUUUACCACUGCUUCUGGGAUGAUAGAGCAUUAAGUACAAACAGCUGUCAGAAUUCCUUCUUGAAGCUUUGAAAUGUCAUUUAACAACCCUAUAGGGUUAACAUUUAGGUGGGUUUGUUUUGUUAUCAUUGAAUGGAUUUUGAAAGUAAGGCAGGAGGAGAAAAUGAAAGGCGCUUAUUUAGAGAAUAUCAUAGACCCCCUAUUUUUCCUUGUCUGCCAGAGGUAACAUCUGUGAGUCCCAAGUCCCGAGAAAUAUCAACACCAAAGAAUCAAGGUACACCUGCAGUCUCAUGAUAUGAGAUACGAGCAGUUUUCAUUAUACUGCAUCUUUAAAAUAGAAACAUACCCUGCCACCAAAAAUCUAGAACUGUUCUGUUUUCUCUUAUUGCAAGUUUCUACCAGACUUUGCUUCAAAUUAACACUUGUUUUGUAAUUCUAUGGUUGAAAUUAUCUACACAGUUUAAAUAUUUCCAUUGAUUUCUCCAGGUUAGUGAGACUUUUCUGAAAAAUCCUUUGAUGUCACAAGAACAUUUUUCUCCUUCAAAUGCAGUUGCUGCAGAUUUUCAACAAGUAUUAGGAAAGUAUAUGAUGAAAUAUAAUACAAAUCAAGUUGACAGCUCGAUAUCCACACUGAAGAGUCAAGUAACUGAUGUAAAAAAUGUUAUGACCCAAAAUAUCGAUAAAAUUUUGGAAAGCGAAGACAGAUUGAAUAUCUUCACUGGUAGAAUGGAUGAUCUGCAAACAACUGUGAGUGUUCCACAGCUGUCUUGAUACCCAAACAGUGCUCUAAGUCAUAGGAUCCCUGCUCUGGAGACAAACUGCCCAAAGCAAAAACAUUCUGGGACACUCAGUGAGAUGAUCCUGUAUCACCAGACUCUCUCUUUAUCAAAGAUUAUUGCAGUGCAACUAAAAUAGUAAAAGGAUAAUUCUAAAACAACCCAAAUUUUAAAGCCUAUUAAAGGAGAAAAUGGUUAUUUGUGUAACUGAAGGAUUUCCUAUUUAAGAAACACACAGGUUAGUCAACAAAUAAAUUCCAAGAGGAAAAGGAGAGCGAAACUUAG
rnacentral:lncRNA from 1 species